rnacentral:rRNA from 1 species
GUCCACGCCCUAAACCAUGUCAACUAGUUGUCGGGAGAGCAAUCUCUUGGUAACGCAGCUAACGCGUGAAGUUGACCGCCUGGGGAGUACGGUCGCAAGAUUAAAACUCAAAGGAAUUGACGGGGACCCGCACAAGCGGUGGAUUAUGUGGAUUAAUUCGAUGCAACGCGAAAACCUUACCUACCCUUGACAUGUACCGAACCCCGAUGAGAGUCGGGGGUGCCCCGAAAGGGAGCGGUAACACAGGUGCUGCAUGGCUGUCGU